rnacentral:lncRNA from 1 species
AAUAUCAUCCUCUGUUUCAGGGUCACAAUACACAGUACAGUAAAGAUGGAAAUUAAUGCAUGUCAAUUUAUAACUUUGUGCCUGCAAUUUCCUUGAGGAUUGGUCAUUGUGUUUUGGACCUUACAAUGGAAGCCACAUCUUUGUCUUGCCACUGUCACUUUGUUUGCAAGGGCAGUAAUGGAUGGGUUCAUCCUUAAAACUUUUUCCAACAUGGUCAAGCUCUUGGACAGUAGUACCUGCAAAGAGAACAUCUCUUAUUGCCCAUCCUCAACCUUUUCAUAGUUUUUGAAAACUCUAUCUCUGAAAUAUUUGUUCUAGACAUCUUAACUGGUUUGAGAGGGCACAUGGACAAUAUAAGAAAUAAUCCCUUAGAAAUAAGAAAAAGCCAAAUAUAAA